UGUUUUUAUGGUCAUCUUGUCAAACGUUUUUAGUUUUGACUUUGAUAUUGGACUAUUAAAACUCCGUACUGAUCUUUAGAAAGAUUAUUAGUGAUAAAAUGUUUAGACAUGUUCAAGCCUUUCUCGACAGCUGUAAGCUAAGAAUCUCGAAUAUAUCUUGUAGCAUGCAUUCUAGAAGAGAUAUUGAUAAGACACCAAAGGGAUCAGCCAUGAAUCAUUCAGAUGGUCCAGAAUGGCAAUAACAUGUUCUUCGUCUCUUUUCAUUGCUGUUGGUUUUGUUUCCUCUUCUGAAUUCCAGCCCCUUUCCGCGUUACACGACUGAGGGAUUUUAGGAAAUGUCUAGUAAGGGUCCAUCUAACAAGCGCAUACUUUUGAUUUGUAAUGCCUACAGUGCCACCUGG
rnacentral:lncRNA from 1 species